GUGAAUCAUCGAAUUUUUGAACGCAAAUUGCACUCUCUUCGGAGAGUAUGCCUGUUUGAGGGUCAGCAUAAAAAAAAUCGACAUUGUUGCUGUUUCGUGGUGGCGUUCGUCGGAAAUUGGGUUAUCUUAAAUUUUUUGGUUUUAAGCGACUUAUAAUAUUCUAUGAUUCAUUGAACGUUUAUAAGAUUAUUUUUUUUUAUGUUUAAGGUAUCGAUUUUUAUUAGGUGUGGCAGUCAUACAGAUCGUGUCCAUAAUCGUUAAUUGACUUCAG
rnacentral:misc_RNA from 1 species